rnacentral:lncRNA from 1 species
GGGGGGGAAUAAACCUCGAAGAAGGCCGGAAAGAAUCAAGGUCAUAAGCAUGACCUCUCCAAGCCAAGCCACUACAUCAGAUCUGAGCUCCGGAGAUGAGAGCAGAAUGAACGACAUGCAGGAGAGAGGCUCACCUGUCGAUCACUUCAGUGACAGUGAUGCUUCAUCACCCACCUCCGACCUGCCAGAAGGGCCUCGCAGUGGGUACAGCAGUCCGCUGCCUCCGGUUUUCUGUACCUCGGCAAAUGGACAAGCAAACCAUCCUGGGAGAACCGAUUCCAGGCUGGUCCUGGUCUCUGCCUCUCAAGAUCUGACAUCGGAUGUGUCGAGGAGUCAUGGGAAGUUUGGCGGGAGCACCGGACAUCAGCAUGGUCGACUGGGAAAGGGAGGCCACGGCACACGUGGGCUGAGGGGCUGCAGGGAGCUCGGGAGGCUUGCUGGGGUGGCAGCCGGGGAGGAAGAUGAGGAAGAGGACACGGAAGAAUGCGAACCGCUCAGCCAGAGGAACAAUGUCAACCAGGAGCGGUUGAAGGCUUUUAACGAGCUGUCAAGCGCAGACCCUGGAAGAUGGACGUGGCAUGUGAGAGGAUGCAGUAUUGGGGUGAAGAAGAGGCCGCCGAUAUGGCUAUGUAUGAUGCCGAUUGAUGCUGCGUUGUAUUGUGUUCAAAAGCCUACAUCUCCUUAGAUGUGACUCAGUCAUCUUAAUACAGUGUAUCAUGGUGGUGUACAAGACUGCUUCAGUGACACUAAACUUCCGGAUUUAUUUAAAGGAUCUUUAAAAUCAUUAUUUUAUUAAAUUGGAUGCAUAUAUUGAAACACUGCGCAUGGUAUCGUGUUUUAUAA